AGGACAUUAACAGCUAAGAUCUACCAUUUCUCCCCGCUCUCUCCUAAAACAUCGCACCGGGAGAGAGACAGACGAAUCCAAAAUGAAUUUUCAACUCCCUGCCGGCUCUCCGUCCUCCUCCGGUACAAAUCCCAACUACCACCACAGCAAUGGAAGCAAUAGCGACCCAAUUCACUCAUGGUGGGAAUCCAUCUCCAAAGCUCGCUCCCGAAUUCACCUCCUCUCCUCUAUCCUCCCCUCAUCUACAGCCGAUCCAUCUCUCUCUAUCUCCUCCCUCGCCGACUCCGACCACCCCGCCCGCUCUCUCCUCUCCUCCUUCCCCGCCUACUCCGCCCUAUCCAUCUCUCUCUCCUCCCCCUCCUCAGGCUCCGGAGCCGACCCACUCUGCCACUGGCUCUACGACACCUUCCUCUCCUCCGAUCCCGAUCUCCGUCUAGUCGUCCUCUCUUUCAUCCCUCUGAUCUCCGGUCUCUACCUCAGCCGAAUCCACUCCAAUUCCAAUUCUUCCCUCGCCGGAUUUGAAGCCGUUCUCCUCGCUCUCUACACUGCUGAAACUAAAUCCCGCAACGGAAAACCCAUCCUCAUUUCUCUCCCCGAUCUUUCUAUUCCUUCUCUUUACCAUACCCCUCGAACCAUUAAUGCCAAAUCAAACCCUAACCCUACUCCUAAAAUGGGAAUUCUCUCACCUCCGUUAGAACCCCAAACUGCCGUGAAAUCCACCAAACGUGCCUGCAUUGUAGGCGUUGCCCUUGAUUGUUACUAUAAACAAAUAUCACAAAUGCCCAGCUGGUCAAAAUUGGAUUUUUGUAAAUUUGCAGCUGAUUGGGCUGGUCAAGAUUGCCCUUGUAAGUCAGAAUUCGAUGAAAUUAACACUUUUUCUGAUGGAAUUAGGAUAGAAGAAAUUGAUGAUGUUGCGGAGGAAAUGGACAAUUUGGGGAUCAAUGAGAAUGGGAGUUCUGAUGAGGCUUUAAAAGGGGAAAGAAUUCCCCUUCCUUGGGAGCUUUUGCAGCCGCUGUUGAGAAUUUUGGGGCAUUGUUUGUUGGGUCCUUUGAAUUCUAAUGAGGUUAAGGAUGCAGCUUCGGUGGCCGUGCGGUGUUUGUAUGCUAGGGCUUCUCAUGAAUUAGUUCCGCAGGCAUUAUUGGCGACCCGGAGUUUGAUUCAGCUUGAUAAGAGAGCAAGAGAGGCUGCACAAUUAGCAGCUGUGAAUGCAGCUUCUUCAAAUGCUAAUACACCCAGUAAAGCUAAGAAACCGGAGAUGCUUUUAGUUUCAAAAUAA
rnacentral:lncRNA from 1 species